AACGAACGCUGGCGGCGUGGAUAAGACAUGCAAGUCGAACGGGAACUUCAGCUGUAGCAAUACAGUUGAAGUUUUAGUGGCGAACGGGUGCGUAACACGUGGGCAAUCUGCCGAGAAGUGGGGGAUAGCUCGCCGAAAGGCGAAUUAAUACCGCAUAUGAUCAGCUAAGACAUCUUAGCGACAUCAAAGCCGGGGCAACCUGGCGCUUUUUGAGGAGCCCGCGGCCUAUCAGCUAGUUGGUGAGGUAACGGCUCACCAAGGCUAUGACGGGUAGCUGGUCUGAGAGGACGACCAGUCACACUGGAACUGAGACACGGUCCAGACACCUACGGGUGGCAGCAGUCGAGAAUUUUUCUCAAUGGGGCAACCCUGAAGGAGCGACGCGCGUGGAGGAUGAAGGCUUUCGGGUUGUAAACUCCUGUCAUUUGAGAACAAGGUGCAUCGGUUAACUGCCGGUGCAUUGAUAGUAUCAGAA
rnacentral:rRNA from 1 species